UGGACCAAUGUUGACUGCUGGUAGAAUAUAAGUCGGUACGAUGAAUGCAUUUAUACAUUCUGAGGUCCAU
rfam:Neotoma lepida isolate 417 scaffold_3, whole genome shotgun sequence.